AUACGGAAGGUCCGGGCGUUAUCCGGAUUUAUUGGGUUUAAAGGGAGCGCAGGCGGCCUUUUAAGCGUGACGUGAAAUGUAGGCGCUCAACGUCUGAAUUGCGUCGCGAACUGUUAGGCUUGAGUAGACGGAAUGUCGGCGGAAUUCGUGGCGUAGCGGUGAAAUGCGUAUAUAUCACGAAGAACUCCGAUUGCGAGGGCAUCUGACAGCAGUUUUACUGACGCUCAUGCUCGAAAGUGCGGGUAUCGAACAGGAUUAGAUACCCUGGUAGUCCGCACGGUAAUCGAUGGAUGCCCGCUGUUUGCCUUUUUGGUAAGCGGCCAAGCGAAAGCAUUAAGCAGCCCACCUGGGGAGUACGCCGGCAACGGUGGAACUCAAAUGAAUUGACGGGG
rnacentral:rRNA from 1 species